UCCCUGGUUGAUCCUGCCAGUAGUCAUAUGCUUGUCUCAAAGAUUAAGCCAUUGCAUGUCUCAGUACAAGCCGCAUUAAGGUGAAACCGCGAAUGGCUCAUUAAAUCAGUUAUGGUUCCUUAGAUCGUACCCACGUUACUUGGAUAACAUGUGGUAAUUCUAGAGCUAAUACAUGCAAACAGAGUCCCGACCAGAGAUGGAAGGGACGCUUUUAUUAGAUCAAAACCAAUCGGUCGGCUCGUCCGGUCCGUUUGCCUUGGUGACUCUGAAUAACUUUGGGCUGGAUCGCACGGUCCUCGUACCGGCGCGCAUCUUUCAAAUGUCUGCCUUAUCAACUGUCGAUGGUAGGUUUCUGCGCCUACCAUGGUUGUAACGGGUAACGGGGAAUCAGGGUUCGAUUCCGGAGAGGGAGCCUGAGAAACGGCUACCACAUCCAAGGAAGGCAGCAGGCGCGCAAAUUACCCACUCCCGGCACGGGGAGGUAGUGACGAAAAAUAACGAUACGGGACUCAUCGAGGCCCCCGUAAUCGGAAUGAGUACACUUUAAAUCCUUUAACGAGUAUCUAUUGGAGGGCAAGUCUGGUGCCAGCAGCCGCGGUAAUUCCAGCUCCAAUAGCGUAUAUUAAAGUUGUUGCGGUUAAAAAGCCUCGUAGUUGGAUUUGUGUCCCACGCUGUUGGUUCACCGCCCGUCGGUGUUUAACUGGCAUGUAUCGUGGGACGUCCUGCCGGUGGGGCGAGCUGAAGGCGUGCGACCGCCUCGUGCGUGCUCGUGCGUCCCGAGGCGGACCCCGUUGAAAUCCUACCAGGGUGCUCUUUAUUGAGUGUCUCGGUGGGCCGGCACGUUUACUUUGAACAAAUUAGAGUGCUUAAAGCAGGCAAGCCCGCCUGAAUACUGUGUGCAUGGAAUAAUGGAAUAGGACCUCGGUUCAUAUUUUGUUGGUUUUCGGAACCCGAGGUAAUGAUUAAUAGGGACAGGCGGGGGCAUUCGUAUUGCGACGUUAGAGGUGAAAUUCUUGGAUCGUCGCAAGACGAACAGAAGCGAAAGCAUUUGCCAAGUAUGUUUUCAUUAAUCAAGAACGAAAGUUAGAGGUUCGAAGGCGAUCAGAUACGCCGCAGUUCCUCCGAUGACUCGGCGGGCAGCCUCCGGGAAACCAAAGCUUUUGGGUUCCGGGGGAAGUAUGGUUGCAAAGCUGAAACUUAAAGGAAUUGACGGAAGGGCACCACCAGGAGUGGAGCCUGCGGCUUAAUUUGACUCAACACGGGAAACCUCACCAGGCCCGGACACCGGAAGGAUUGACAGAUUGAUAGCUCUUUCUUGAUUCGGUGGGUGGUGGUGCAUGGCCGUUCUUAGUUGGUGGAGCGAUUUGUCUGGUUAAUUCCGAUAACGAACGAGACUCUAGCCUGCUAACUAGUCGCGUGACAUCCUUCGUGCUGUCAGCGAUUACUUUUCUUCUUAGAGGGACAGGCGGCUUCUAGCCGCACGAGAUUGAGCAAUAACAGGUCUGUGAUGCCCUUAGAUGUUCUGGGCCGCACGCGCGCUACACUGAAGGAAUCAGCGUGUCUUCCUAGGCCGAAAGGUCGGGGUAACCCGCUGAACCUCCUUCGUGCUAGGGAUUGGGGCUUGCAAUUGUUCCCCAUGAACGAGGAAUUCCCAGUAAGCGCGAGUCAUAAGCUCGCGUUGAUUACGUCCCUGCCCUUUGUACACACCGCCCGUCGCUACUACCGAUUGAAUGAUUUAGUGAGGUCUUCGGACUGGUACGCGGCAUUGACUCUGUCGUUGCCGAUGCUACCGGAAAGAUGACCAAACUUGAUCAUUUAGAGGAAGUAAAAGUCGUAACAAGGUUUCCGUAGGUGAACCUGCGGAAGGAUCAUUA